UACGGAGGUUCCAAGCGUUGUUCGGAAUUACUGGGCGUAAAGGGAGCGCAGGCGGUCAAGUCAGUCCAAAGUGGAAGCCCGGGGCUCAACCUCGGAAAGCCUUUGGAUACUGCUUGACUUGAGUACGUGAGAGGAAGGCGGAAUUCAAGGUGUAGCGGUGAAAUGCUUAGAUAUCUUGAGGAACACCAAUGGCGAAAGCAGCCUUCUGGCACGACACUGACGCUGAGGCUCGAAAGCGUGGGGAGCAAACAGG
rnacentral:rRNA from 1 species